CCCCGGGCAUGGCUCUAGUACGGCGCAGUGAGCAGCCAAAGCUCAAAUUUGAAAGCUCCUAACAAGGCGCAUUGUAAUUUGAAGAUGGUAUUCCGAGUUAGUCCUUUACCUCAGUUCCUUGGAACAGGACGCCAUAGAGGGUGAGAGCCCCGUGUGGUAUUGGUAGCUUUCUCAUGUGGUUUACCUUCGAAGAGUCGAGUUGUUUGGGAAUGCAGCUCUAAGUGGGUGGUAAAUUCCAUCUAAAGCUAAAUAUUGGCGAGAGACCGAUAGCGAACAAGUACUGUGAAGGAAAGAUGAAAAGAACUUUGAAAAGAGAGUGAAAAAGUACGUGAAAUUGUUGAAAGGGAAGGGAAUUGGACUAGACUUGGAUUUCUGUUAUCAGCAGUCUUUCGGGGCUGUGCACUAGCAGUUUUCUAGGCCAGGAUCUGUUUGGAGGCCAGGAUAAAACCCAAAGAAUGUGGCUCUUCGGAGUGUUAUAGCUUUGGUUGAAUACUGGCAUUCUGGACAGAGGACCGCGCU
rnacentral:rRNA from 1 species